GACGAACGCUGGCGGCGUGCCUAACACAUGCAAGUCGAGCGAGGUAUUUGCGACUGAUUCCUUCGGGAAGAAGCUGCAAAUCACCUAGCGGCGGACGGGUGAGUAAAGCGUAGGAACGUGCCCCUCGGAGUUGGAUAGCCAUGGGAAACUGUGGGUAAACCGACAUAGACUCGGGAGAGUAAAGGCCGAAAGGCGCCGAGGGAGCGGUCUGCGUCCCAUCAGGUAGUCGGUAGGGUAAAGGCCUACCAAGCCGACGACGGGUAACCGGUCUGAGAGGAUGGCCGGUCACAAGGGCACUGAGAUACGGCCCAGACUCCUACGGGAGGCAGCAGUGGGGAAUUUUGGACAAUGGGCGCAAGCCUGAUCCAGCCAUGCCGCGUGCAGGAUGAAGGCCUUCGGGUUGUAAACUGCUUUUGUACGGAACGAAAAGACUCUUUCUAAUAAAGAAGGGUCCAUGACGGUACCGUAAGAAUAAGACACCGGCUAACUACGUGCCAGCAGCCGCGGUAAAAAUACUCUAU
rnacentral:rRNA from 1 species